CCUUCGGGCUUAGUGGCGCACGGGUGCGUAACGCGUGGGAAUCUGCCCUUGGGUUCGGAAUAACAGUUAGAAAUGACUGCUAAUACCGGAUGAUGUCUUCGGACCAAAGAUUUAUCGCCCAGGGAUGAGCCCGCGUAGGAUUAGCUAGUUGGUGGGGUAAUGGCCUACCAAGGCGACGAUCCUUAGCUGGUCUGAGAGGAUGAUCAGCCACACUGGGACUGAGACACGGCCCAGACCCCUACGGGAGGCAGCAGUGGGGAAUAUUGGACAAUGGGCGAAAGCCUGAUCCAGCAAUGCCGCGUGAGUGAUGAAGGCCUUAGGG
rnacentral:rRNA from 1 species